UAAUGCGNGAAAGCGUGGGGAGCGAACAGGAUUAGAUACCCUGGUAGUCCACGCCCUAAACGAUGUAUACUAGUUGUUGCUUCGCUAGUCGAGGCAGUAAUGCACCUAACGGAUUAAGUAUACCGCCUGGGGAGUACGGUCGCAAGAUUAAAACUCAAAGGAAUAGACGGGGACCCGCACAAGCGGUGGAGCAUGUGGUUUAAUUCGAAGAUACGCGAAGAACCUUACCCGGACUUGAUAUCUAACAAAUCAUCCAGAGAUGGAAGAGUGUCUGCUUGCAGAAAUGUUAAGACAGGUGCUGCACGGCUGUCGUCAGCUCGUGUCGUGAGAUGUUGGGUUAAGUCCCGCAACGAGCGCAACCCACGUCAUUAGUUGCUAACGGUUCGGCCGAGCACUCUAAUGAGACUGCCUUCGCAAGGAGGAGGAAGGUGUGGACGACGUCAAGUCAUCAUGGCCCUUAUGUCCGGGGCGACACACGUGCUACAAUGGCGUAUACAAUGAGACGCAAUAUCGCGAGAUGGAGCAAAUCUAUAAAAUACGUCCCAGUUCGGAUUGGAGUCUGCAACUCGACUCCAUGAAGCCGGAAUCGCUAGUAAUCGUAGAUCAGCCAUGCUACGGUGAAUACGUUCCCGGGUCUUGUACUCACCGCCCGUCACACCAUGGGAGUUGAUUUCACUNGAA
rnacentral:rRNA from 1 species